CACCCGCCUUGGCCUCCCAAAGUGCUGGGAUUACAGCACCUGGCUGUAAAAUCACUUUUAAAGGUCACAUUCAGUCUACCUGGUAAUAUAAAUAUUUCAUAGACCUUGAUUCUCCUUCCCUCCAGAAUGCUUUAUGUGGCCCUGGGGGAGUCACUUUCUCUAAUACUUUAUUUCCCUCAUUGUAAAAUAGGGCUGAUAUGAUUGAAUCCAAAUAAUACAGUAACAGCUCAGUCAAUAAUAGCAACUUAUGAUUAUAUUAAAAGGUAAAAAAGGCUAAUAAUAAAAUACAAUUUAUUAAAGGAAUCAUGUUUACAAAGAUACAGGACAUUUUUUUCUCAGAUAUUUCAACACCAUAGCAACACGAAAUUAAUUUCUUCAUGUAUAACAGAUAUGCUGAAAGCUGCAUGCCUCAUCAAUUUUUAUUUUAUUGGUUAUGGCUAUAGGUGACAUCUUUCCAUAUAAAAACAAACUGUACAGCAUCACAUACAGAGUACAGACAUCUUAAGUUCAUUCACAAAGCUCAUUUUUCUAAACUGCCCUUCAAAAA